rnacentral:rRNA from 1 species
GACAGAGGGUGCAAGCGUUGUUCGGAAUUAUUGGGCGUAAAGCGCGCGUAGGCGGUUUUUCAAGUCGGAUGUGAAAGCCCGGGGCUCAACCCCGGAAGUGCAUCCGAAACUGGAUCACUUGAGUCCCGGAGAGGGUGGUGGAAUUCCUGGUGUAGAGGUGAAAUUCGUAGAUAUCAGGAGGAACACCCGUGGCGAAGGCGACCACCUGGACGGUGACUGACGCUGAGGUGCGAAAGCGUGGGGAGCAAACAGG